UUGAAUUUUAAUGAAGAGUUUGGUUGUAGCUGGCCCAUUCAUUUGGGCAUGUGCACACCUUCCUCUUUCAUCCCACACACACCUGUGAACCUGUGAGACAGAGAUGGGGAAUUUACUUGCUGCUUUUUGGAACUACAAAGGCAAUAGGUUAUUGGACCCCCCCUCUGUCUACUCAAUUAAUAUAAACUCAAUUUAUUUUAAAACGAAUGUAAUGGAUGUAACACAUCUCAUAC
rnacentral:misc_RNA from 1 species